GACGAACGCUGGCGGCGUGCUUAACACAUGCAAGUCGAACGGUGACCCAGGGCUUGCCCUGGUGAUCAGUGGCGAACGGGUGAGUAACACGUGGGCAACCUGCCCCUGACUUCGGGAUAACUCCUCGAAAGAGGAGCUAAUACCGGAUACGACCACUUCGGACAUCCGAUGGUGGUGGAAAGUUUUUCGGUCAGGGAUGGGCCCGCGGCCUAUCAGCUAGUUGGUGGGGUAAUGGCCUACCAAGGCGACGACGGGUAGCCGGCCUGAGAGGGCGACCGGCCACACUGGGACUGAGACACGGCCCAGACUCCUACGGGAGGCAGCAGUGGGGAAUAUUGCGCAAUGGGCGAAAGCCUGACGCAGCGACGCCGCGUGAGGGAUGAA
rnacentral:rRNA from 1 species